rnacentral:rRNA from 1 species
RGAGUUUGAUCCUGGCUCAGAACGAACGCUGGCGGCGUGCUUAACACAUGCAAGUCGAACGUGAAUCGACCUUCGGGUCGAGGAAAGUGGCGCACGGGUGAGUAACACGUGGAUAAUCUACCCAAUGGUCCGGGAUAACACCCCGAAAGGGKKSYWAAUACCUGAUAAGCCCACGAGCUCCUCGGAGCUUGCGGGAAAAGGKGGGGAMCCUUCGGGUCCUACUGUCAUUGGAUGAGUCCGCSUCCCWUUAGCUAGUUGGUGGGGWAAKGSCCUACCAAGGCUACGAU